GGUAGAGGUAACAGAGCGAGAGACAGGUAGAGGGAGAGGUAAAAUAUGUAGAGAGGUAGAACUAACAUAUGUGAGGUAACAGAGAGAGACAGGCAGAGAGAGACAGGUAGAGAGAGAGGUAGAGGUAACAGAGAGAGGUAGAGGUAACAGAGAGAGGUGGGGGAGAGACAGGAGGAGAGGUAGAGGUAGAGGUAACAGAGAGAGGUAGAGAGGUAGAGGUAACAGAGAGAGGUGGGGGAGAGACAGGAGGAGAGGUAGAGGUAGAGGUAACAGAGAGAGGUAGAGAAGUAGAGGUAACAGAGAGAGGUGGGGGAGAGACAGGAGGAGAGGUAGAGGUAGAGGUAACAGAGAGCGGUAGAGAAGUAGAGGUAACAGAUAUGCGGUAACAGAGUCAGAUUGGAAUAGCAGGUGGCUCUGACCUACAAAUAAUCUGAGAGAAAUAAGAACAAUGAAAAGGAGGAAGAGAGGAGAAGAAAGUGA
ensembl:lncRNA